ACAUUACUCGCCUCCGCCGUUUUGGAUUCUUCCCUGAUUUUUUCCCCUCCUCUCGAUCGCUUGGUGUUUGUGCUUGUUGUUGCGUUGCGUUUGCUUAUAGUGGUCCAGUGAGCUCCAGCGAGCAAAAACAGACGCCAUGAGCGCCAGAGAGAGAUUUUGGUGCCAAUAGACACACACUGAUUUCAUCAUCAUCUAGGCCCAAAAACCUCUACUCUUCCGCGUCUUGGAAAAUUCUUCUCAGAUUGCAUCACCAGUAGGAGGAUUGUCAGAUUGCUGCUGCUGCUCUUGUACUAGUUGUAUUCAGGAUUCAGAAUUUGGGCGGACGACGACGAGGAUAAAUCGGAUCUUUUCUUCCUCCUUGAUUAAUUCCUGAGGCGUGUGUGUGAUUAGUUC
rnacentral:sRNA from 1 species